AGCCCCACAGAGAUGGUUGCCGCGGUAAGAAAACACACCUCUCUCACUCUCUUCAUUUGUGACCGACCAGAACCAUAGCAAGGUUACUCAACAUGUGAGCCUAGUUCACUGAACCACUUCCACCUGUGGGAGUUCAUUGAAGAAAUACACUGUCCCAGAUGGAACACUGUCCCCUAUAUAUAGGCUUUACAGGAUCCCUUGUGGCAUGGUAUCCUACAGUUUGCUCCUAUCGGUCCUGGUCAAAAGCAGUGCAUUAUAUAAAGGCAAUAGGGUUCCAUUUGGGACUCAGCCAUAAGGCAAUAUCAUACAUACCCUGCAUACCUAAUGUCUAAACCCUCUAUGUUCCUAUCAUACAUACCCUGCAUAUCUAAUGUCUAAACCCUCUGUUUCAGGGCCAUGACUGCUGUCCAUUUCAGUUCUCCUAUAAGGGCCCAGGCAGUCUGAAGUUUGUUAAGAAGCUGGACAUCCCCAAGCAGACCUCUAGGGGCAGCAUGUCCGCCAUGCAACACUUCCGCAAUCUGGAUAAGAAGGCUACUGAUGAUGAGAGCAACGAGCUGGGCUGCCUGCACCAGAACAGCAUCACGUGAGGAGAGAGGGAGUGUGUGUGUGUUGUAUGUGUGUUGUGUGUUGUGUGUGCCACAUACACGUGUUUAGCAGAUGUUAUUGCGGGUGUAGCGAAAUGCUUGUAAGUAUACUGAAUCUCUCUGCUCCUGUGUCUCCAUCCAGUCAGCUGUGUAUCGUGUCAGGAACUAAGGCCCACGUGGACAAGUACAGCAGUGUGGGUCUGGACGGAGCUAUGGUCCUCUGGGACUUCAAGCACUGAGUUCAUGGAGGUUGCUAGAGCCAUAUGCUGUGUCUUGCCAUCUGUGCGGUCAGCAUCACUCCAGCUGACCAUGGGACUCACCACUACCAGUUGUUAUUAACAUCUACAUUAAGCAGUUAGUCUCACCAGGGUUGGGGUCAAUUCCAUUUCAAUUCCAGUCAAUUCGGAAAGUAAACCAAAUUCCAAUUCCGAUUAAAAAAAAAUGUUCCUCAUUGAAAAGCAUUGAAGAGAAUUGGAAUUUCAGUGUACUUUCUGAAUUGACUGGAAUUGAAAUGGAAUUGACCCCAACACAGAGUCACACCACUGUCAGGUGACCUAUUAUUUUACACAGAUAGAUGUGUUGUCAUGUGUAUUCAUUAUCAACUGGAACAGAAGACGCUUCUGCAGCUUCAAGAUGUUUUGCAAUAAAUCAUGUUGCUUUGUGCUGGGUUUCAAUCAACGAAUCAAUAUUUUUGAGUAAAUUAAAAUGCUUUCUACAGAUUCUGGUGGACUGAGUUUUCAUAUUGUACUGUGAUAAAGGAACUCACAUCCAAGUGGAACGUUUGGUGCAUAUUUCUAAUACUGUAAUAAGACAUAUUAUAAUAUAAAUCAUAAUGUCCAUCCCUGGCUGAGUGCUACACUUCAACAAGGUAUUGUGUCUAUGGCAGUAUGGCUACAGUGAAUCUACACUCCGGAAUUGUUAUAAAUGGUACAAAGUACAAUAUAAAUAUACAAAAUACAAAGUAGCAUGUGUAAGCAAAAGGCUGCUGCAGGUGCUUGAGGGUCGCUCAAGGAGAAGUCAAGGAAGGUCAAUGUUUUGCCAGCUGUUACUACUGUGAAUUAAUAGCUUUUCUUGUCUAUCUCCGCCCACUGUGACCUCCGCCCUCUGUGACCACCGCCCACUGGUUUGAGUUCUCCAUGAAUAACAACAUGCAGAGCUACUAGCUACUAGAGAGGAAGAGGCGGAGCCAGAGGGUUUACUCACGUCAAAGUCUGUCCACGGGGAAUACGGCGUUAUUCACUGUGUUUCUAUAGGUUUAACAAGCACAUCGAUAGAUAGCUUGUCACCUGACUUCCCGCAUUUGGGACAACAACUCAUUAUAUACAGUAUCUCUCCUACUACUGCAUAGAUUUAAACUAGGGGCGUUACCCGACCUCCCUUUCCCCAAGAGGAGCCAAUCAAGACAAACCUUUUUUUCCACCUGACCAUAGAUAAUGAUAGAUAAAGCACUGAGUAUGCAAAUCAUUUAAGAACACCUGCUCUGUCCAUGACAUAGACUGACCAGGUGAAUCCAGGUGAAAGAUAUGAUCCCUUAUUGAUGUCACUUGUUAAAUCCACUUCAAUCAGUGUAGAUGAAGGGGAGGAGACAGGUUAAAGAAGGAUUUUUAAGCCUUGAGACAAUUGAGACAUGGAUUGUGUAUGUGUUCCAUUCAGAGGGUGAAUGGGAAAGACAACAUAUUUAAGUGCCUUUGAAUGGGGUAGGGUAUUAGGUGCCAGGCGCACCGGUUUGUGUCAAGAACUGCAACGCUGCUGGGUUUUUCACGCUCAACAGUUUCCCGUGUGUAUCAAGAAUGGUCCACCACCCAAAGGACAUCCAGCCAACUGGACACAACUGUGGGAAGCAUUUUAGUCAACAUGGGCCAGCAUCCCUGUGGAACCCUUUCAACACCUUGUAGAGUCCAUGCCCCGACGAAUUGAGGCUGUUCUGAGGGCCAACUCAACAUGACGAAGGUGUUCCUAAUGUUUGGUAUACUCAGUGUAUGCAGUAGUUAUUAAGCAAUAAGGCCCGAGGGGGUGUGGUAUAUGACCAAUAUACCACGGCUAAGGGCUGUUCUUAUCAUGAUGCAAUGCAGAGUGGCUGGAUACAGCCAUUAGCUGUGGUAUAUUUGCCAUAUACCACAAACCCCCGAGGUGCCUUAUUGCUAUUAUAAACUGGUUACCAACGUAAUUACAGCAGUAAAAAUACAUGUUUUGUCAUACCCGGUCUGAUUUACCACAUCUUUCAGCCAAUCAGCA
rnacentral:lncRNA from 8 species